AUUGAACGCUGGCGGCAGGCCUAACACAUGCAAGUCGAGCGGAUGAAGAGAGCUUGCUCUCUGAUUUAGCGGCGGACGGGUGAGUAAUGCCUAGGAAUCUGCCUGGUAGUGGGGGAUAACGUUCCGAAAGGAACGCUAAUACCGCAUACGUCCUACGGGAGAAAGCAGGGGACCUUCGGGCCUUGCGCUAUCAGAUGAGCCUAGGUCGGAUUAGCUAGUUGGUGAGGUAAUGGCUCACCAAGGCUACGAUCCGUAACUGGUCUGAGAGAUGAUCAGUAACACUGGAACUGAGACACGGUCCAGGCUCCUACGGGAGGCAGCAGUGGGGAAUAUUGGACAAUGGGCGAAAGCCUGAUCCAGCCAUGCCGCGUGUGUGAAGAAGGUCUUCGGAUUGUAAAGCACUUUAAGUUGGGAGGAAGGGCAGUAAGUUAAUACCUUGCUGUUUUGACGUUACCGACAGAAUAAGCACCGGCUAACUUCGUGCCAUCAGCCGCAGUAAAAC
rnacentral:rRNA from 1 species